rnacentral:rRNA from 1 species
CUUGUCUCAAAGAUUAAGCCAUGCAUGUCUAAGUACGCACGGCCGGUACAGUGAAACUGCGAAUGGCUCAUUAAAUCAGUUAUGGUUCCUUUGGUCGCUCGCUCCUCUCCUACUUGGAUAACUGUGGUAAUUCUAGAGCUAAUACACGCACAAAAACUUCAACUGAAUUGGUUGAAGUGCUUUUAUUAGAACAAAAACCGAACGGCGUUCGACUUGUGUUGAACGUCGAAACUCUUUGGUGAAUCUGAAUAACUAUUUCUGAUCGCAUGGUCUAGCACCGGCGACAUCACUUUCAAGUGUCUGCCUUAUCAACCUUCGAUGGUAGUCUAUGCGACUACCAUGGUGAUAACGGGUAACGGAGAAUCAGGGUUCGACUCCGGAGAGGGAGCCUGAGAAACGGCUACCACAUCCAAGGAAGGCAGCAGGCGCGCAAAUUACCCACUCCCAGCUUGGGGAGGUAGUGACGAAAAAUAACGAGACGAUUCUCGUUUGAGAAACGUUAUCGAAAUGAGUACGCUUUACACACGCUAACGAGUAGCAAUUGGAGGGCAAGUCUGGUGCCAGCAGCCGCGGUAAUUCCAGCUCCAAUAGCGUAUAUUAAAGUUGCUGCGGUUAAAACGCUCGUAGUUGAAUUGUGGUCUUAGACAACAGUCCCCCUAUAUAGGUGUGGCACGGUUGCUCGAGAUCUUCAUUCGUGGUUGCUGUUGUUGCUCUUCAUUGAGUGUCAAUGGUGCCUCGAGAUUUUACUUUGAAAAAAUUAGAGUGCUCAAAGCAGGUUGUGAUGCCUGAAUAAUGGUGCAUGGAAUAAUAGAAUACGAUCUCGGUUCUAUUUUGUUGGUUUUCGAACCGGAGAUAAUGAUUGAAAGGAACAGACGGGGGCAUUCGUAUUGCUGCGUUAGAGGUGAAAUUCUUGGAUCGCAGCAAGAUGAACAAUUGCGAAAGCAUUUGCCAAGAAUGUUUUCAUUAAUCAAGAACGAAAGUUAGAGGUUCGAAGGCGAUCAGAUACCGCCCUAGUUCUAACGGUAAACUAUGCCAACCAGCGAUUCGCCGAAGUUCAUUUAAGACUCGGCGAGCAGCUUCCGGGAAACCAAAGUGUUUCGGUUCCGGGGGAAGUAUGGUUGCAAAGCUGAAACUUAAAGGAAUUGACGGAAGGGCACCACCAGGAGUGGAGCCUGCGGCUUAAUUUGACCCAACACGGGAAAACUCACCCGGCCCGGACACUGAAAGGAUUGACAGAUUGACAGCUCUUUCUUGAUUCAGUGGGUAGUGGUGCAUGGCCGUUCUUAGUUGGUGGAGCGAUUUGUCUGGUUAAUUCCGAUAACGAACGAGACUCUACCCUAUUAAAUAGUGACAGUAUUGCAUAUUCUGUGCUGAUCACUUCUUAGAGGGACUGGCAAAUUGAAAGCUGCACGAAAAAGAGCAAUAACAGGUCUGUGAUGCCCUUCGAUGUCCGGGGCUGCACGCGCGCUACAAUGAAAGCGUCAACGUGAGUUACGUCCUUACCUGAAAAGGUUUGGCAAUCGAUUGAAACGUUUUCUUGAAUGGAAUAGGGAAUUGCAAUUGUUUCCCUUGAACGAGGAAUUCCCAGUAAGCGUGAGUCAUUAGCUCGCGUUGAUUACGUCCCUGCCCUUUGUACACACCGCCCGUCGCUACUACCGAUUGGAUGGUUUAGUGAGGCCCUCGGAUCGGCCCCGCCGGGGUCGGCCCACGGCCCUGGCGGAGCGCUGAGAAGACGGUCGAACUUGACUAUCUAGAGGAAGUAAAAGUCGUAACAAGGUUUCCGUAGGUGAACCUGCGGAAG